CUGCCAUCAACAGUAGAAGAAAUAGAGGAGAAAGAAGGAGAAGAAUAAGAAAAGAGAAGGAAGAAGAAGAAGAGAGAGAAACAGCAGGGGAACUCACCUACCUUAGACAGUUAUUGGACCAGGCCAGUACCAGAUGUCGAGACCAAUAUUCUGUCGACUUCCAGCCCUGAUUAUGAGGCAAUGGCUAUGGAUCACUGGCCUAUUUUCCAGAGGAUGAAGCUAAACAUGGAACCGAUUGUGACUGUGAUGAUUGUGCCUACGGAGGCUAGUGCCUCUGAACAGUAGGAAGUGGUUUUGACAAUACUCUCUUGUGUAAAUAUUUUCAUAUGAGAGUACUCUAAUGUAUUAAGCUACGCGAGUGAUGUAAAUCUUUUUGUGUAAAUAUUAUUUUGAUUUUAAGUUAUUCUGGAUAACUGUAAUAUAUAUGGUAUCACAUAGUGACACUGGGAAUGAUGUAAUUUAUUUUGCAAAGGGACUAUUUAUAUCCUU